UUGACCUCGAAUCAGGUAGGAAUACCCGCUGAACUUAAGCAUAUCAAUAAGCGGAG
rnacentral:rRNA from 5 species